rnacentral:rRNA from 1 species
GGGUUAGGGGCUUGCUCCUAAUCUAGUGGCGCACGGGUGAGUAACGCGUGGAUAAUCUGCCUGAUGAUCUGGGAUAACAUUUCGAAAGGGGUGCUAAUACCGGAUAAGCCCACGGGAGCUUCGGCUCUUGCGGGAAAAGAGGGGGACCCUCGGGCCUCUUGUCAUCGGAUGAGUCCGCGUACCAUUAGCUAGUUGGUAGGGUAAAGGCCUACCAAGGCUACGAUGGUUAGCUGGUCUGAGAGGAUGAUCAGCCACACUGGAACUGAGACACGGUCCAGACUCCUACGGGAGGCAGCAGUGGGGAAUUUUGCGCAAUGGGGGAAACCCUGACGCAGCAACGCCGCGUGAGUGAUGAAGGCCUUCGGGUCGUAAAGCUCUGUCUAGAGGAAAGAAGUGUGCGGGGGCUAAUAAUCUCUGCACUUGACGGUACCUCUGAAGGAAGCACCGGCUAACUCCGUGCCAGCAGCCGCGGUAAUACGGAGGGUGCGAGCGUUGUUCGGAUUUAUUGGGCGUAAAGCGCGUGUAGGCGGUUUCUUAAGUCUGAUGUGAAAGCCCCGGGCCUAACCUGGGAAGUGCAUUGGAAACUGGGAGACUUGAGUACGGGAGAGGGUAGUGGAAUUCCUAGUGUAGGAGUGAAAUCCGUAGAUAUUGGGAGGAACACCGGUGGCGAAGGCGGCUGCCUGGACCGAUACUGACGCUGAGACGCGAAAGCGUGGGGA